CCUACGGGAGGCAGCAGUGGGGAAUAUUGGACAAUGGGGGCAACCCUGAUCCAGCCAUGCCGCGUGUGUGAAGAAGGCCCUCGGGUUGUAAAGCACUUUCAGUGAGGAAGAACGCCUGGUGGUUAAUACCCAUCAGGAAAGACAUCACUCACAGAAGAAGCACCGGCUAACUCCGUGCCAGCAGCCGCGGUAAUACGGAGGGUGCGAGCGUUAAUCGGAAUUACUGGGCGUAAAGCGCGCGUAGGUGGCUUGAUAAGCCGGUUGUGAAAGCCCCGGGCUCAACCUGGGAACGGCAUCCGGAACUGUCAAGGUAGAGUGCAGGAGAGGAAGGUAGAAUUCCCGGUGUAGCGGUGAAAUGCGUAGAGAUCGGGAGGAAUACCAGUGGCGAAGGCGGCCUUCUGGACUGACACUGACCCUGAGGUGCGAAAGCGUGGGUAGCAAACAGGAUUAGAUACCCUGGUAGUC
rnacentral:rRNA from 1 species